rnacentral:rRNA from 1 species
AUUGAACGCUGGCGGCAGGCCUAACACAUGCAAGUCGAGCGAGCGGCGGACGGGUGAGUAAUGUGUGGGAAACUGCCUGAUGGAGGGGGAUAACUACUGGAAACGGUAGAUAAUACCGCAUAUGAUCAGAUGUGCCCAGAGGGGAUUAGCUAGUGGGUGGGGGAAUGGCUCACCUAGGCGACGAGCCCUAGCUGGUCUGAGAGGAUGACCAGCCACACUGGAACUGAGACACGGUCCAGACUCCUACGGGAGGCAGCAGUGGGGAAUAUUGCACAAUGGGCGCAAGCCUGAUGCAGCCAUGCCGCGUGUAUGAAGAAGGCCUUCGGGUUGUAAAGCACUUUCAGCGGGGAGGCGUUACCCGCAGAAGAAGCACCGGCUAACUCCGUGCCAGCAGCCGCGGUAAUAC